rnacentral:rRNA from 1 species
AUAGAACGCUGGCGGCAGGCUUAACACAUGCAAGUCGAGCGGAGAUGAGGUGCUUGCACCUUAUCUUAGCGGCGGACGGGUGAGUAAUGCUUAGGAAUCUGCCUAUUAGUGGGGGACAACAUUCCGAAAGGAAUGCUAAUACCGCACACGUCCUACGGGAGAAAGCAGGGGAACCUCGGACCUUGCGCUAAUAGAUGAGCCUAAGUCGGAUCAGCUGGUUGGUGGGGUAAAGGCCUACCAAGGCGACGAUCUGUAGCGGGUCUGAGAGGAUGGUCCGCCGCACUGUGACAGAGACGCGGCCCAGAAUCCUGCGGGAGGCAGCAGGGGGGAAUAUUGGACAAUGGGGGAAACCCUGAUCCAGCCAUGCCGCGUGUGUGAAGAAGGCCUUAUGGUUGUAAAGCACUUUAAGCGAUGAGGAGGCUACUGAGACUAAUACUCUUGGAUAGUGGACGUUACUCGCAGAAUAAGCACCGGCUAACUCUGUGCCAGCCGCCGCGGUAA